UACGUAGGGGGCAAGCGUUGUCCGGAUUUAUUGGGCGUAAAGCGCACGCAGGCGGUCGUCCGCGUCUUGACCGACAGUUCCCCGCUUAACGGGGAGAGGUGUCGAGAAACGGGGCGACUUGAGGACCAGAGAGGAAGACGGAAUUCCGGGUGGAGCGGUGAAAUGCGUAGAGAUCCGGAGGAACAUCGAUGGCGUAAGCAGUCUUCUGGCUGGUGCCUGACGCUCAGGUGCGAAAGCUCGGGGAGCGAACAGG
rnacentral:rRNA from 1 species